GGUAUGCACUGUUUUGAUACCAAUUGUUGUGAAUCUUCAACCCUAGGCAUCGUUUAACCCACUGUGCCGCUCAAUCCAUCAUACACCUCGACCUUUUCAUUAAGACUGCCUCCAACCAAAGUUGGACUACCAAAUCAUACAUCUAGAUCUUCCACCUUGGAAAACAUCCCUUUUCGUCAAUUCUUUCAGCCUCCACCUUCAACCCACUAUUCUUGGUUGGUCAAACCACAGCAAUAACAAAGAUAGAUCUGAGACAUAUCGUGGAAUAGGUGUGCAGAUUUCAGCUUUCACCUUAUAUGACUUCUCCUUUACUUCCAUACUCCAUCAGGCUUUGAUACUAAUUAUUGUGAAUCUUCAACCCUAGGCAUCGCUUAACCCACUGCAUCGCUCAAUCUGUAUGCGCUGUUGUGAUACCAAUCGUUGAGAAACCCCUAAUUUUACCGUUAGGAUCUCCUGGAUUACUUGCGUAGAAUUUGGAUGUUAAUCUAGAAAACUUGAGAAAUACUUUCUGAAGAUUGAUAAUAAAAUAUUAAAAUUUAUUAUAGGUCAUCUUUUUGAGAUUGGUGAUCCAAAAUCAUUGAAAUUUGUUAAUCCAAUUUUUGAUACGAGGUAGGUGAAAGAAUCGGCAUGGUCUGGCUAAAGACGGUAAACUUAGUGCUUUCUGGGAGGUAAUCUAGUUUCAGUUUUUAUUUUUGCCUUUUCUUUCUUUUGUAUUUUGUUUAGGUUAAUCGAGUCUUAUAUGUCUUUUAUAGAGAUUUGAAGACAAUAUUGGCUCAGUUAAAAAAUUAAUUUUGAAAAGACUUCUGGAUCAUGUGACAUCUCUCAUUUUCUUUCUCUUCACAUGUAUCUUUUAUUUUUCCUACUCUAUUGAGAACAAUGUCGAUUAAGUUGGAGAGGAGAAUAAUCUAUUUUUUUUUUUAAGUUCUUAAGUUAGUAUUUAGCAUUUAAGCACCUGAUUAUACUUAAGAAUCGAGUUAAACCAAAUAUUUUUAAAAAAAUUAAUGUAUAGACUAGAGAGUUUAUGAGAUAUUGAGGGAUCAAGUAUUAAGAAAACUCAAUAACAAGUUAAGUUUAGAACUUAAACAGUUUUUUUUGAGCAUUUCUAAAUUUUUCUACCAGCAUCGAAGAAGAGUUUACUUCUUAUGGGCUUGUAUAGGGUAACUGUAUGUUUCUUCAUAUAUAUAUAUAUAUAUAAAAGAGAAGUUUUCAAAUAUUUCAUGCUGAGUAACUGGAUCUCUUUGCCUAAGUAAGCAUUGAGUUCUCAUCAAAAGGUAUGAAGGGCAAAGAAGCUUUGUUGUAAAGUUAGUUUUAACUCGUAGCCUGUUUGAUUGGAGCAAGCUAUUUGGUUCAGGAGUCAUUGGCUAAAAAUUCGUUACAUGGGUUAAAUAGAAAGCUUUUUAAGGGAUUAAGACACUCAAUAGUGGUACAAUAUUAAAAAAAAUAAAAAGAAGAAGAGUAAAGUUUAAACAUUGAUCUUCCAUCGAGUAAUUGGACCCCUUCGUCUAAGUAAGCAUUGUGGUUUGUACCAAAAAGUGGACAAUAUGAAGAUAUUUUUUUUAUAAUAAAUGAAGGAUGAAAGUAACAAUAUACUUGUUCAUGCGAAGGUUAAUGAUUUGGAGAUAAAGGUAGG
rnacentral:lncRNA from 1 species